UUGUACCCUCCCGCUCCGUGGAACACCUGGGAACAAAGCAGAAUGGAUUGCAAACAAAAUAAUGCUGAUUUGGUUGUCAUAGGCAGUCAAAAGGAACAGGAAUUCAUUCAUAACCACACUCAAUACUACUAUGAUAAAGAUCAUGGGUACUGGAUCGGUUUAAAUGACAUAGCUAAAGUCGGCCAAUGGCUCUGGGUUAGUGGAAGUCAUCAGAAUCUGACUGAUGGGUUUUGGAAGAGACAAACUGGGGGUGAUUGCGUGUUAACUGUCCCAAAUAAUGCACCUUUGGAUAAUUGGAAUGCUGAAUCGUG